GACGGAGGAUGCAAGUGUUAAUCGGAAUUACUGGGCGUAAAGCGCGCGCAGGCGGUUUGUUAAGCUAGAUGUGAAAGCCCCGGGCUCAACCUGGGAUGUUCAUUUAGAACUGGCAGACUAGAGUCUUGGAGAGGGGAGUGGAAUUCCAGGUGUAGCGGUGAAAUGCGUAGAUAUCUGGAGGAACAUCAGUGGCGAAGGCGACUCCCUGGCCAAAGACUGACGCUCAUGUGCGAAAGUGUGGGUAGCGAACAGC
rnacentral:rRNA from 1 species